rnacentral:rRNA from 1 species
UACAGAGGGUGCAAGCGUUGUUCGGAAUUAUUGGGCGUAAAGCGCGUGUAGGCGGCUUGGCAAGUCGGGUGUGAAAUCCCUCAGCUCAACUGAGGAAGUGCGCCCGAAACUGCUUAGCUUGAGUGCCGGAGAGGAUGGCGGAAUUCCCCAAGUAGAGGUGAAAUUCGUAGAUAUGGGGAGGAACACCGGUGGCGAAGGCGACCAUCUGGAAGGUAACUGACGCUGAGACGCGAAAGCGUGGGUAGCAAACAGG